CCAGACGGCCGGAUGGCCGCCUUUGCCGGCGCUUUGCGGCGGCGGGGGAGGAAAGUCCGGGCUCCACGGAGACAGGGUGCCGGGUAACGCCCGGCGGGGGCGACCCCAGGGAAAGUGCCACAGAAAGCAAACCGCCGGCCUCAAGGCUUUCGGGCCCCGCGCCGGCAAGGGUGAAAGGGUGCGGUAAGAGCGCACCGCGCCUCCGGCAACGGCGGCGGCAGGGCAAACCCCACCUGGAGCAAGAUCAAGUAGGGACGGCCGGGCCAGCCCUUUCGGGGGCGGGGCCAGGCGGGUUUUCGCGCCGCCGUCCGGGUCGAUCGCGCGAGGCGUCCGGCAACGGGCGCCCCAGAUGAAUGGCCAUCCCCGUGCGCAAGCGCGGGACAGAACCCGGCUUACAGGCCGUCUGGCCUU
rnacentral:RNase_P_RNA from 1 species